UAGUCCCUGCGGUGUUCGUGACUUGACCUAUAUUUCUUGAACCAAUGCUAUGGCAUUAGGUUGCUCGAUUGACAAGUGGGCGUGAACGCCUUAAUUGGUGAUCCCGAAGCUUGACUGAAGGCGACCACCUUGAACUUACGGUUCCAGGAUGCCGGUCUAGACGGCACAUGCGGGGCAUUU
rnacentral:other from 5 species